UACGUAGGGGGCUAGCGUUGUCCGGAAUCAUUGGGCGUAAAGAGCGCGUAGGCUGCUCGGUAAGUCCGCUGUAAAAGUCAAAGGCUUAACCUUUGAAUGUCAGUGGAAACUGCCGGGCUAGAGUGCGGAAGGGGCAACUGGAAUUCUCGGUGUAGCGGUGAAAUGCGUAGAUAUCGAGAGGAACACCUGCGGCGAAGGCGGGUUGCUGGGCCGACACUGACGCUGAUGCGCGAAAGCCAGGGGAGCGAACGGG
rnacentral:rRNA from 1 species